ensembl:lncRNA HULC hepatocellular carcinoma up-regulated long non-coding RNA
UUUACCUCUACCCACUGAAAUGGAGUAGGUCGGUGAGCGCCGAUCUGCUGGAGAAUCUCAUUAUCCCAUCGGCGCUCUGCCUGCUCCUGGCCUCCAAGCCUCUGAAGCCCCUCGGGUUUCAGCUGCCGGCUACCCUCGAGCCCGUGGUGCCCACGAGAGAGGCGACUUUACGUCAGCGGCCCUGGGCUGAGAUUUGAGAACGCGACCAAGUGGAGAAUGUUGGAGCCAGAUUUUAAAAUCCUUGUCUUCCUUCUGCGUGCUACUUGAUCUAAAUGAGAUACGGCAAAGUCACAGAACCUGUUUUUAUGUUUUUGCCUGAUUCAUACGGGCUUCUCCGGUGAAGAUGGGCCUGAAGUAACGCUUGGGUUGCUUCUGACGUUAUAACUCAUCCUGUAGCUGCAGCAACCGUGGUCCUUGCAACCUCAUAAAAAUGUUGCCAGCAUUGUUUCGAUAGUGCUGCUUAAUUCUUGGAAGGUUCUUCGGACUUCACACAUUCCAGCAGUAGCUCUCUCAGCUCCUGUCCUGCACAGCUUUGAAGUGCUGGCUGGAGUGCAGUGGUGCCAUCUCGGCUCACUGCAGCCUCAACCUCCUGGGCUCAAGCGAUCCUCCUGCCACACCCUCCUGAGUAGCUGGGAUUACAGGUGAUGUCAUUGAACUCUUAAGUGCAAGAUGAAACAAGUCUUUCUGGGGUUCUAAGUAGUUAACCAACAGGACACAGCCCUGGUGAUGGCUUUCUGAGGAUGACACGAUGGAGGCUUCUCCAAUAGCUCUAAAACUGCGGUGUGGAAAACAUUCGGCAGCCUCAAAGAGCGGUCUUGUUGACCCCAACUAUAUCAUUUUUCAUCAAAAUCAUUCUUGAAUGACCAGGCAACACUCUUUGAAAAUUGGAGGCCAUUUGCAGCUGCUCUCUGUUGAGGAAAGUGAAUAAUAGGGUGCCCUCAAGGAAUUGCAAAGGUAUCACUCAACAGAAACUUUCGUGUCUGAAGAAAACUAGAUCAUUUUAUCAUGGGACACGCUGCGGAUGGCUUGAGAUUAGUAUCUGCGCAGGUGCCAUUCUCACAGUGUGUGCUGUGAGAAUGUCGCAGACGUGUGCUGCUACUCUGGCACUCACACUUGUCCAGGCUGUUUCUUAGGUGGUCAUCUUGCCUGUGGUAUCAGAAAAAGGGAUUUCUACUUAGUAUUAAGAAGUUGAAACCAAAGUAGAAAAUAUUCAUCCUUUGCUUUCCCCAAACAAUUCUUCUGCCUAGAAAUGUCAACAACUUAACCACAUGCAAAUACCCAUUUGUGGACAAAUGUGUACAAAAGACAUUUGGGGUUCCCCUCUUUGAGACUAGAUUAAAGCUGACCAUAUAGAUAGGGAAGAAAACUGUUUUUCUCUGUAGCAUCAUAUUGCUGCUUUGUAUAUUUUCUGAUAGAGUAGCAUCAGGUCCUCUGGCUGCUUUAUUGAAAUCAUCUUUGACGUUUCUAACAAGGAAAUUUCCUGUGCAAAACUCUAGUUAGAGAUUUCAGUGACUUGUAUCACCAAGAGGAGGACCAUCAGCAUGCAGUGGAGGUCUAGGCUUCAGACAUGUGAGGCACACUGAGGAGCAGCUUUAUUUGCAAGAGGUAUUAGGAAUCUUCCUAACAAAGUUGACCUUCAGGAUGGGAGAAAUCAAAGCACAGACCAUAGAUCCAAAAAAAAUGGCUUCUGGUCAGAAAAGGUGAUCUGAGAUUAGGGGAAGAUGUGUCAUCAAUAUCAUCCCCUGGUCCAGCCCUGUGAAAUCACACCUGAGUGGUAGAGAAAUAUCUAUGAAAAAAUAGUAAAACAGAAACAAAUGUUUCUGUCUGGCAGACAGGCAGCUGCAUGGCUUUCAGGGCCAGGUAGAGGGGACAUCACAUGUACAUGGUGGCAGCGGGAUGUCCCCAGGUAGCAGAAAGUCGCAGGUGGCUCAUCAGAGACCCUAAAGAACUAGCCCCCUACUUGUAGGUGUCAGUGGCUGUGGUAGGAGUGGCCAUAGAUAGUUUCUGGUUACACAAGAUUGGUGUGGGAACAGCAUGACCACGAGAAAAAUCUGGGUUGACGGCCCCAGGGAGCUGGAGCAGAAUAUUAACAAUAGUAGCUAGCAUUUGAGUGCUGCCCAUGUGCUUGAAAAUGUUCUAGGUGAUUUACCUUUAUUAGCUCCUAUAAUUCUCAAAACGACCUCGAGUUAGGUCUUUCUAUUAUUCCUAUUUUAUAGACAAAGCAGUGGAGCCACAGAGAGGUUAAGUAACUUGCCCAAUGUCACACAGCAAAAAGUGGCAGAGCCACAAUUUUAAUUUGGGUUGAAGAGGAAAAUAGAUAAUGCAUAUUCCUAGGAUCUGAGAGAUGUUUGAGGUGAGGGGGAAUGAGAGGCUCUCCUUUGAAAGAAGCAGCAGGGGGUACUGAAACAGAGUAGAAGAGUGUGAAAGCUGGUGGGGUUGUUGUUGUUGUUGUUUUUAGUCCUAAGUUAGUGGCAUGAAAGCACUGCCCUGGAAGCGAUGGAGCAGCAAGUGCUCUACCCACAUGGAAGUCUUUGGGACCUGCACUUCAAUGAGCGCAGAGAGGAAAAGGAGAGAAGAACCAACACAACUGAAGCACCUACGAGCGUCAGGCACUGGCCCAGCUGCCAUGGACCCCCGAGUUGAAGGUCGUAUAACCUCAGCCUGCCCAAAUGAACCAAGCACACAACCACAGGGGGAACCCAAGAGUUCCAGUGGGAGAGCUGGAAGAGGAGGGACCAAUGUGAGAAGUGGACACCAUAUGGCAGGAUCCAGGAUCCAAUCAGACUGAGCCCUGGGGUCACCCCAUGGAAGGAUCCAGUUGGAUCAUGCCUCCUGGCAUCACCUACUGCAAGAUCCAAUCAGAUCACACCUCCUUACCCUAUGCUUAUAAAACCCCACCCAGCCCCCAGCCCGAAGAUACAGAUUUGAGUAUUUCC